GACGUAGGGCGCGAGCGUUGUCCGGAUUUAUUGGGCGUAAAGAGCUCGUAGGCGGCUUGUCGCGUCGACUGUGAAAACCCGCGGCUCAACUGUGGGCUUGCGGUCGAUACGGGCAUCACUGGAGUUCGGCAGGGGAGACUGGAAUUCCUGGUGUAGCGGUGAAAUGCGCAGAUAUCAGGAGGAACACCGGUGGCGAAGGCGGGUCUCUGGGCCGAUACUGACGCUGAGGAGCGAAAGCGUGGGGAGCGAACAGG
rnacentral:rRNA from 1 species